rnacentral:rRNA from 1 species
AUACGGAGGGGGCUAGCGUUGUUCGGAAUUACUGGGCGUAAAGCGCACGUAGGCGGAUUAAAAAGUUAGAGGUGAAAUCCCAGGGCUUAACCCUGGAACUGCCUUUAAAACUAGUAGUCUAGAGUUCGAGAGAGGUGAGUGGAAUUCCAAGUGUAGAGGUGAAAUUCGUAGAUAUUUGGAGGAACACCAGUGGCGAAGGCGGCUCACUGGCUCGAUACUGACGCUGAGGUGCGAAAGCGUGGGGAACAAACAGGAUUAGAAACCCCAGUAGUCC